rnacentral:rRNA from 1 species
CCUACGGGAGGCAGCAGUGAGGAAUAUUGGUCAAUGGACGAGAGUCUGAACCAGCCAAGUAGCGUGAAGGAUGACUGCCCUAUGGGUUGUAAACUUCUUUUAUAUGGGAAUAAAAUGUUCCACGUGUGGGAUUUUGUAUGUACCAUAUGAAUAAGGAUCGGCUAACUCCGUGCCAGCAGCCGCGGUAAUACGGAGGAUCCGAGCGUUAUCCGGAUUUAUUGGGUUUAAAGGGAGCGUAGGUGGAUUGUUAAGUCAGUUGUGAAAGUUUGCGGCUCAACCGUAAAACUGCAGUUGAAACUGGCAGUCUUGAGUACAGUAGAGGUGGGCGGAAUUCGUGGUGUAGCGGUGAAAUGCUUAGAUAUCACGAAGAACUCCGAUUGCGAAGGCAGUUCACUGGACUGCAACUGACACUGAGGCUCGAAAGUGUGGGUAUCAAACAGGAUUAGAUACCCGAGUAGUC